rnacentral:rRNA from 1 species
CACGUAGGCGGAUUGGAAAGUCAGAGGUGAAAUCCCAGAGCUCAACUUUGGAACUGCCUUUGAAACUCCCAGUCUUGAGGUCGAGAGAGGUGAGUGGAAUUCCGAGUGUAGAGGUGAAAUUCGUAGAUAUUCGGAGGAACACCAGUGGCGAAGGCGGCUCACUGGUUCGAUACUGACGCUGAGGUGCGAAAGCGUGGGGAGCAAACA